ensembl:lncRNA
AUGAGAGAGAGACGGAGACAGACAGAUGGACAGAGACAGACAGAGAGAGAGACGGAGACAGACAGAUGGACAGAGACAGACAGGUGGACAGAGAGAGAGAGAGACACAGAGACAGAGAGAGAGAGAGAGAGAGAGAGAGAGAGGUGGACAGAGACAGACAGAUGGACAGAGACACAGAAACAAACAGAUGGACAGAGACAGACAGAGAGAGAGAGAGCCACAGAAACAGACAGAAAGAGAGAGACGGAGACAGACAGGUGGACAGAGAGAGAGAGAGACACAGAGACAGACAGAGAGAGAGAGGUGGACAGAGACAGACAGAUGGACAGAGACAGACACAGAGAGAGAGAGAGACAGAGACAGAGAGAGAGAGAGAGAGAGAGACAGAGUAACAGCACAGAAAAUUAUCAAAAUGCAAUAGAAAGUCAAACGAUCAAAUUAUUAUUGGAAAAAUUUAUAUUGAACACAUAUUCACAAAAUAAAUUAGGAAUAAAUCUGGCACUUAGUGACAUUACCAAAAUAUUCCACCAAUCAGCAUCCAUGUGCAAUUUGAAAAAUAAAUCUUCAAAAAGGAAACCAAAAAACACCAAAGAAAUGUGGUUUGACAGUGAGUGCAAAAAUAUCCGAACAACAGUACGAAAUCUUUCAAAUCAAAAACACAGAGAUCCUGACAAUGAAGAACUCCGCCAUCAAUAUCACGAAGCCCUUCGACUGUACAAACAAACUCUACGAGUAAAAAAGGAAGAACACACAGAACAAUUAUUUCAAGCAAUGGAGGAGUCAAUAAAUACCAGUAACUUCUGGAACAACUGGAACACGAGACAUUUAACUUCUGAUUCCGUCAGGGUUGGGCCGGGGGCAGUGGAAUUAUUUAAGGCUUUGGCUAAUUCGUUUAUAUAUAUGUUAAAUAGAGUGGGGCUCAGUGGGCAACCUUGUCUGACUCCUCGUUGUUGGGAGAAAAAUUCUGUUCGUUUUUUUCCUUUUUUACAGCACAUGUAUUGUUUUUAUACAUGGUGCUUAUCAAAUCAAAUGUUUUACCUCCAAUCCCAUUUUCCAGUAGUUUUAGGAAGAGUCCUUCAUGCCAGAUCAAAGUUCUGA